GGCAUGGGUCAUAUGGUGAAUUCUGCAGAAGAGUUUCACAAUAAAGUCAGCAAAUAUCAAUCAGCAUUUAGCAUCAGAUUUGUCCAUGAGCCAGCAAAUAGGAUCAGAAUGGCCCAUCAAAUGCUAGACGAUAAUGUUGAUAACCGAUAUCAAAAUUUAAUUGCAGAAAUGCACUAAGGUCAUGUUUAGUAUAGCGUAAUCAAAAUUAUAAUAUAAUCGUGAUUACAUUGCAUAUUUAAUUACGUUGUUUGAUAACACAAUAUAAUUUGACACAAUGGAAUUUCAAUUGUAUAACGUAAUUAAUUAUGUUUAAAACAACAUAAUAAUCAUUACAUAUAAAAAUUGAUGUAAUCAUGAUUACUUAUUUUGAUUUUUUUUAUUUAUUGUCAAUAUUAUCACCAUCGCCACUAGGCCACCAUUGCUACUACUACUGCUACUUCUAUUUUGUCACCACUACUACCGCCACCGCCACCGCCACCGUC
rnacentral:misc_RNA from 1 species